rnacentral:rRNA from 1 species
AUUGAACGCUGGCGGCAGGCUUAACACAUGCAAGUCGAACGAGUGGCGGACGGGUGAGUAAUGCUUGGGAAUCUAGCUUAGGGAGGGGGAUAACUACGGGAAACGGUAGCUAAUACCGCGUACCAUAGGAUGAGCCCAAGUGGGAUUAGGUAGUUGGUGGGGUAAAGGCUCACAAAGCUGACGAUACCGAGCUGGUCUGAGAGGAUGACCAGCCACACUGGGACUGAGAGCCGGCCCAGACUCCUACGGUAGGCAGCAGUGGGGACUAUUGCGCAAUGGGGGCAACCUGACGCAGCCAUGCCGCGUGAAUGAAGAAGGCCUUCGGGUUGUAAAGUUCUUUCGGUAGCGAGGCGUUAACUACAGAAUAAGCACCGGCUAACUCCGUGCCAGCAGCCGCGGUAAUAC